rnacentral:lncRNA from 1 species
AUGGUGUCAUCCUACCACAGGUCGUUUGCAGCCUGGAACAACUGCUGGUGACCACAGAGGUAAUGGUUGCAAGACCCAAGCCUCAUGGAAGACUGUCAGAGUUCCUGACUGAUAUGAGGCUGCAGAGGAGGCAGCAGGAUAAAGAGGGUGAAAUGGCAGUCUACAAAUUCCAGACAAUAACACUCAAAGGAGAGGCAUCAAAUCUGGCUGAAGAUGGUGUUGCUGCCACUAAACUUAAAAAAGUAAUGGAUGCAAGAAUCAAA